CAUUCAUCUUGGGGGUGCCUAAGGCAUAGGAGCUACGGCUCUAGAAAUGCAACGGCUGAGAUUAUACCCGUAACCUGAUCCAGGUAAUGCUGGCGUAGGGAAAGGCGAAACGAAGGAU
rnacentral:ncRNA from 2 species